AUAUAUAAUGCCAUAUUUAACGGGCCAUCUUUAGGGGUCUUAACCCAAUUAAAAAAUACCAAAAUAUAGAAAUAGUGAAAUUGGAAGAGAUAAACGGGUGUUAGCUAAGACUCUUUUGGUUUGGGUUCUUCUACCAGGUGUUAAUACGUGAGUGGCUGCAUAAAUUGUAAAUGAAAACAUUUUUCUUUUUUCUUUUUCUCCUCCAAAAUUUAUUUUUCUUCUCCUCCUCACGUUUCGAAUCAUGGCGGACAAAGCAGCAACGCAGUCCUCCUCGUCUCCGCCGGUAAUCUCAAAACCCGUCCUCUCUUUUUCCGAUUUACUUCACUUACCAACUCCUGAUACUCCUUGUUCAAGGACAUGGAAUCAAGUUUUUGUGGGUAUUGAGUUGAGGUUUCAUAGCUAAACUUAGAAGCAAUUUCAUGGAAGGAGAGAGUUGAUGGCUGGAAAAUGAAGCAUGAGGAGAACACUGGUCCGGUGAACACACAGGCUGCUUCUGAAAGAGGUGGAGGAGAUAUUGACGCCAGCACAGAUAUUCUCGUAGAUGAAGCUUUGUUGAAUGACGAAGCAAGGCAGCCUCUACCGUAUAACAAAUCCAGUGCCAAAUGCUUUCGCUCUGUGGCUGGUCUCAUUAAUACGUGAGAUUUGUUUCCAUUGGGGGAUUUUUGGAUCUGUUUCUUCAGACAUCAGACAAAAGGUGAUUCUUGGUACGUUUCAGUUUGAUAGAAAGAAGGACGAUGCCGCGAGGGGCUAAGCAUUGGGAAGCAUUGGAAGGAGCUUGUUGGUUACAAUGAAAUCUGAUUUAUAGUUCAUGUAUCAUUUCUGCAACAUCUUUGUGUUCUCCUAAACUACACUCUUUGUGCAAUUGUGACUUGUCCAAUUUGUUUA